GGCCAGUGGGAGAAGCUGAGCUCUGAGACCACCCUCAAGACCCGCUCUCUGCAACUGGGCUUUGGCGCCCCGGUCUCCAGCUCUGAGUCCUUGGGAGAGCUGUUGAAGCCUCACCUACCCUGCUUUCCUCAUCUGCAAAAUCCACCUGGUAGGUUGUGGUAAAGAUUAAUGGGGUUGACCAUGCAGAGCUUGGCACAGUGACCAGCACUUGCCAAAUACUAGGAAAGUCCUGCAAGAAUAAAAGAAGUACACUCCCACCCUCCCUGAGCCUCCAGAAUCUUCUGCUAUACCAGGUCGGCUUGCCCUUAGAGGGCAUAGUGGGGACAAGGCCAGGUGGGCAGUGUCCCUCUCUGUCAUGGUUGGGUGCGGCUGGAGACCUGGACCAGUAUGAGAGUGACAAUGGACCCUCAGAAUAUGCAGCCAUCCCGGGGGACUUGGCCAAGCACUGGGAGGGAAGCCAGCUAGGAGGAUGGACUCCCUGUUCAGUGGGAGCUGGGUCUCUGCCUCUUCAGCGGGAGCUGUGUCUCUCCCUGUUCAGCGGGAGCUGGAUCUCUGCCUGUUCAGCGGGAGCUGGGUCUCUGCCUGUUCAGCGGGAGCUGGGUCUCUGCCUGUUGCAAUUUGGGGUGAAGGGGGAGGUUGGAGAUCUGAGGACACCUGAGGGCUUGGGUUAAAGAAAUGGAUUCUCACGGCGAAAUGGGCUUUUUUCAGGGGAGGGUCUGCAACUGGUUAAAUAUUGGACAUCGGAUCUUUGGGAGAGGAGGGAAAGAGCCCCCAGACCCAACCCCUGUCUCAGCUCCUAUGUUGAGAAACUGAGGCACAGACCCUCAGGUAGACCCACCUCCCC
rnacentral:lncRNA from 10 species